CCCCCCCUUUUUGGGUGAUAAGCUUCAUCGUUGAGAGGGAAACAGCCCAGAUCACCAGCUAAGGCCCCUAAAUGAUUGCUCAGUGAUAAAGGAGGUAGGAGUGCAGGGACAGCCAGGAGGUUUGC